UGGGGAAUAUUGCACAAUGGGCGCAAGCCUGAUGCAGCCAUGCCGCGUGUGUGAAGAAGGCCUUCGGGUUGUAAAGCACUUUCAGCGGGGAGGAAGGCGUUAAGGAUAAUAACCUUGGCGAUUGACGUUACCCGCAGAAGAAGCACCGGCUAACUCCGUGCCAGCAGCCGCGGUAAUACGGAGGGUGCAAACGUUAAUCGGAAUUACUGGGCGUAAAGCGCACGCAGGCGGUCUGUCAAGUCGGAUGGGAAAUCCCCGGGCUCAACAUGGGAACUGCAUUCGAAACUGGGAGGCUAGAGUCUUGUAGAGGGGGGUAGAGUUCCAGGUGUAGCGGUGAAAUGCGUAGAGAUCUGGAGGAAUACCGGUGGCGAGGGCGGCCCCCUGGACAAAGACUGACGCUCAGGUGCAAAAGCGUGGGGAGCAAACAGG
rnacentral:rRNA from 1 species